UACAGAGGGUGCAAGCGUUAAUCGGAAUUACUGGGCGUAAAGCGUGCGCAGACGGUUGCGUAAGUCAGAUGUGAAAGCCCCGGGCUCAACCUGGGAAUUGCAUUUGAGACUGCGUAGCUAGGGUGCGGAAGAGGGAAGCGGAAUUUCCGGUGUAGCGGUGAAAUGCGUAGAUAUCGGAAGGAACACCAGUGGCGAAAGCGGCUUCCUGGUCCAGCACCGACGUCAGGCACGAAAAGCGUGGGGGAGCAAACAGG
rnacentral:rRNA from 1 species